rnacentral:lncRNA from 1 species
GUCCUCCACAUCCAAGAGAAGCUUCUGCAACACCUGGAGGAAGCAAACGCGGAGGAGCCAUCUGAGGCCCAGGGAAUGAUCUCCCUUCUCAGCCAUGCCGCUGAGAGCAGCUUCCACACAGUCCUGGACACACUCACCAUGUUUGCGUCCAGGCUGUGCAAAGGCCAAAAGGGGAGGAUUUCCAGACGCAAGAAGAUGGAGCUGGACAGCAGAAGAGCUCACGCCACACGCAGCGCUCUCAUCCUCGCCCAUGGCAGCUUGGCACUGCGAGCCUCCAAGGAACAGCUGCUCGCCCGCCUGGAGGGAGACAUCGUGGGCAACAUCCUGCUGCUCUACAGCUGCAGCUGCCAGGACUUGCAGAACACGCUCGCGCUGGUGCAGAGCAUCACUGACUUCAGCUCUGCUUUCCAAGCUGUGGGUGACUCUGCCUGCUUUAACCCCUCCUUGAAG